rnacentral:tRNA from 1 species
CGGGGAGUGGUGGAAUUGGCAGACACGAAAGUCGCGACCGGUGCACCGGAAGCGGCGAGCCGGCGGCCGGCCCACGCGGUCGACCGUAGAACCGGCUUAUUGCGGAGUUCGAAUCCCGCCUCCCCGA